ensembl:processed_transcript
GCUCUCAUCACUUCAUCAAGCCAAGAGCGAGAGAAAAAGAUGAUGACACGAGGAGGAGACCAUCUCCAUUUACAUCUGGCUGAACAUCAGGUGCAGCUGUGGCUGGUGUAUUCUGGGCAAUUUUCUUACUCCUUGAUUUCGAGUGUGAUCCUGAAAAAUCUUCGUUUGAAGGGGUGUAUACCCCUUGCCCUUAGCCCUACGCUCAAGCUUAAAAGAAAUGGGACACCACUACCCCUUCACAGGCACACACAAAACGAGGGGAAAGGGGAAGGGCUAAGGGGUAAAAUUGGGAUUGAACCUCGGUGUCCACAACUCACUAAUUAUCUAACAAAACGAAUACUACUUUAAAUAGUUGCACUAUAAAAACCUGUAUAUUUGUUAUAUUUUACAUACCCUUUGAUGUCUUAAUUAUUCAAUGUAGCCUAUAUAAUAAAUCUGUAAGCUAGAAG